UCCGGACCUGUUGACAAGCAUAAAAUCGCCCAUCCCAUAGAUUUCAAAGUGCUCUAAACUUUAUCAUUCAUCUUUCUAAAAUGGUCAGUUGGUGAUCCAAUAGUAUACCAUCUUUAUUUUUUUUCUUUUUCUUUUAUUUUUCUUCAAUUUUGUAAUCAUCUGAAUAUUUCUCCUUAUUAAUUAUCCUUCGAUCUUAUUCAAUUUUAUUUUUUAUCAUGGUGUUCUUUGAAAUUGUUUGCUUGAGAUGCUGAUAUAAUGUUUUCUUAAUGCUAGUCUUUUUUUGGAUUAUACAUACUCUUCGCAAGAUUGAGAAUAUUUUAUUUUCUUAUUUCAUUAGCUGUAUCGCGAAUUACUUGAACUGUUGGGC
rnacentral:lncRNA from 1 species